rnacentral:rRNA from 1 species
GAUUGUAGGCUGAAACUCGCCUACAUGAAGCUGGAGUUACUAGUAAUCGCAGAUCAGAAUGCUGCGGGGAAUGCGUUCCCGGGUCUUGUACACACCGCCCGUCACACCACGGGAGUUGGAGACGCCCGAAGCCGAUUAUCUAACCUGUUGGAAGAAGUCGUCGAAGGUGGAAUCAAUAACUGGGGUGAAGUCGUAACAAGGUAGCCGUAUCGGAAGGUGCGGCUGGAUCACCUCCUUUCUAAGGAGA